UCCCUGCUAGCUCAGUUGGUAGAGCGCGUCACUAGUAAUGACGAGGUCAGUCGUUCGAGUCGGCUGUGGGGAA
rfam:Fistulina hepatica ATCC 64428 unplaced genomic scaffold FISHEscaffold_466, whole genome shotgun sequence.